CGUAAAUAAGAAAAGGAGAAAAUACAGUGAAACGGGUAGAGGGAUGGCAUCGACGGUGGUGAAGGGAGCUUUGAAGGCGAUCAGAGAGAAAGGGUUCGGCACCUUUCUGCGAGAGCUCAGGGAAGAAGGCUACACGAAGUGCCUUUUGGAUGGAAAUUUGUUGCAAACGAAAAUCCACAACAUAGGGGCAACACUUGUGGGGGUGGACAAAUUUGGCAAUAAGUAUUAUGAGAGACUUGAAGACACACAAUUUGGAAGGCACCGAUGGGUUGAAUAUGUAGAAAAGGGUCGCUAUAAUGCUUCUCAGGUGCCACCAGAAUGGCAUGGUUGGCUUCAUUUCAUAACUGAUCACACAGGGGAUGAGCUCCUGAUGCUAAGACCUAAGAGGUACGGGGUUGAGCACAAAGAGAAUCUCUCUGGAGAAGGUGAGGAGUAUAUAUACCAUUCCAAAGGACAUGCUCUCAAUCCUGAUCAGAAGGACUGGACCAGGUAUCAACCUUGGCAACCCGCUAAGUCAGAGUAAUUCUUUGGGGCCACCAACAUCCUGUAAACUUGGAAAUUAUGGCAAUUUGAAUCUAUUCAAAUGAAUAAAGCAUGUGCUUAUUUGAGGCUGUAAAACUUUUGUUCCUGGAGGACUUUGAAUGUCAACUUCAUAUGUUUGGUGAAACUUAUUUUCUCAAUGGUUUUAUUGUGGACUGCUGUCGAUUUUGGUUUUAGUUGCUUAAGUACUGAU
rnacentral:misc_RNA from 1 species